UACGUAGGGUGCGAUCGUUGUCCGGAAUUACUGGGCGUAAAGAGCUCGUAGGUGGUUUGUCGCGUUGGUCGUGAAAUCUCACGGCUUAACUGUGAGCGUGCGGGCGAUACGGGCAGACUAGAGUACUGCAGGGGAGACUGGAAUUCCUGGUGUAGCGGUGGAAUGCGCAGAUAUCAGGAGGAACACCGGUGGCGAAGGCGGGUCUCUGGGCAGUAACUGACGCUGAGGAGCGAAAGCGUGGGGAGCGAACAGG
rnacentral:rRNA from 1 species